GACGAACGCUGGCGGCGUGCUUAACACAUGCAAGUCGAACGGAAAGGCCCUGCUUUUGUGGGGUGCUCGAGUGGCGAACGGGUGAAUAACACGUGAGUAACCUGCCCCUGACUUUGGGAUAACUUCAGGAAACUGGGGCUAAUACCGGAUAGGAGCUCCUGCUGCAUGGUGGGGGUUGGAAAGUUUCGGCGGUUGGGGAUGGACUCGCGGCUUAUCAGCUUGUUGGUGGGGUAGUGGCUUACCAAGGCUUUGACGGGUAGCCGGCCUGAGAGGGUGACCGGCCACAUUGGGACUGAGAUACGGCCCAGACUCCUACGGGAGGCAGCAGUGGGGAAUAUUGCACAAUGGGCGGAAGCCUGAUGCAGCAACGCCGCGUGCGGGAUGACGGCCUUCGGGUUGUAAACCGCUUUCGCCUGUGACGAAGCGUGAGUGACGGUAAUGGGUAAAGAAGCACCGGCUAACUACGUG
rnacentral:rRNA from 1 species